UCGGGAAUUUUGGGCAAUGGGCGCAAGCCUGACCCAGCAACGCCGCGUGAAGGAUGAAAUCCCUCGGGAUGUAAACUUCACAAGAACGGGAAGAAUAAGUGGGGGACAAUACCCCCCAUGAUGACGGUACUGUUUGUAAGCUCCGGCUAACUCCGUGCCAGCAGCCGCGGUAAUACGGGGGGAGCAAGCGUUGUUCGGAUUUACUGGGCGUAAAGGGCGCGUAGGCGGCGCAACAAGUCACUUGUGAAAUCUCGGGGCUCAACCCCGAGCGGCCAAGUGAUACUGUCGUGCUUGGAGUGCGGAAGGGGCAACCGGAAUUCUUGGUGUAGCGGUGAAAUGCGUAGAUAUCAAGAGGAACACCUGCGGCGAAGGCGGGUUGCUGGGCCGACACUGACGCUGAGGCGCGAAAGCUAGGGGAGCGAACGG
rnacentral:rRNA from 1 species